AGAGGACAGUAUGGGCUGUCAAUCCUCCAAAGAGAACUUGAGAUCCAGCACUAGUCAUUUCAAAUAGGUUCAAAGCCAUCUCGUCUGUAGUGUGAGUCACAAAGAGGAACUCAGCGGGCAUGUAAAAUGUGCUCUACAAUAUGCGUUCUCAAGGAAAGACAGAUACUUUGACAUGAAGGUCCAGAGGAAAGGACUAAAAUACAGCAGUGGAUUUGCUGGAUGAUCUAGCAAACCCUGAGGCAAGUUUCAGCCACAACGUCUGUUUCCCACUGUGGAAGGAGAAACAUUGCCUUCAGCUUCCCGGGAAAUCACACUGAGAACCAAAACCAAAGCCGAACAACUGGGGAAAAGCUACUGUCCCUGAACACACUCGACGGAUCCAACGGUUCCAUGGAUCAAAGAGGCUAACUUCUCAAUUGGGCCCAAACUAAGAGGGCCGGGGGAGUGAUCCAGCUCUCAGAUUUAAUCAGAAA